rnacentral:lncRNA from 1 species
AUAGUAUGAUAUUUGUUGAUUUUAUUAUGUUAAUUCUUGAGUGCAUUAUAGCUUAUUUUUUGUUUCUCUUCAGAUGGUUACAAUGGAAGUCAAAACUUAUGUAUAUUCUAUGGCAAAUUCGUUCACGAAAGCAACUGGAAACAGAAAAUUCUGGUUCCCCAAGACCAGCAAAGCCACCACCAACAGGAACUGUUUGAAAAACAAUUAUAUAUUGUAUAAGAUACCACCGUUUAAGUUCCUUUCUGUUAUUUGUAUUUUGUAUUUUUGGCACAACACCAAUUUGUCACACAAAUCUGGAAAGAAGAUCCUAUCAAAUACUUUCAUUAAAAUGAUAUUUUGAUUGAAACAUUUGUAAUAACUAUAUAUAUAUUUUUAUAAAACUCUUUAAAUAAUCCUGUUUCUUUCACAUAUCAUACCGAAACGUUUAAUUUGGAUUUUCAAAAUUUAAAAUUUCUAUUGAACUUUCUUUUAUUCAAAUAACAAAAUUGCUGUAUAACUAGACAAUUAAAACUGGUAAUGAUAAGACAAAUUCAAUGGACACGUUGCUGUCAAUGAUUAUGGAUCAAAGAAUAUUUGUAAAUUCAAAAGAUUUACCCUUUUCCUAUCACUAAUUUUAAAAUCAAACAUUCCUGCUUUUUAUAACGAAGAUUUUGCUUUAUUGAGGAGGGGUCAGAUAUUUAAGAACAAUUCCUUGUAUGUAACUGCUUUGUAUUUAAAACUCAGUUAUUCAUUAUUGUUAUGAAGAUUGUCACAUAUAAAUGACCUAUAUGAAUGUGUGCAUUUGAAGUAUGUAUGUUAAAAAUUGGGCAACCAUGAUUUUAUUGCAUGGAUCAUCAUUUUAGUAUUGGUGAUGGAUGAUUAUUAUUUCCAGAAUUAAAAGGAAGUGUUAUUAAGUUUUUAUCAACAUAUAUAAAAUUUUUGUUU